AGGCCUAAUACAUGCAAGUCGAACGGCAGCACAGCAGUAGCAAUACUGUGGGUGGCGAGUGGCGGACGGGUGAGGAAUACAUCGGAAUCUACCUUUUCGUGGGGGAUAACGUAGGGAAACUUACGCUAAUACCGCAUAAGACCUUCGGGUGAAAGUGGGGGACCUUCGGGCCUCACGCGGAUAGAUGAGCCGAUGUCGGAUUAGCUUGUUGGCGGGGUAAAAGCCCACCAAGGCGACGAUCCGUAGCUGGUCUGAGAGGAUGAUCAGCCACACUGGAACUGAGACACGGUCCAGACUCCUACGGGAGGCAGCAGUGGGGAAUAUUGGACAAUGGGCGCAAGCCUGAUCCAGCCAUACCGCGUGGGUGAAGAAGGCCUUCGGGUUGUAAAGCCCUUUUGUUGGGAAAGAAAUCCUGCCGGUUAAUAACCAGUAGGGAUGACGGUACCCAAAGAAUAAGCACCGGCUAACUUCGUGCCAGCAGCCGCGGUAAUACGAAGGGUGCAAGCGUUACUCGGAAUUACUGGGCGUAAAGCGUGCGU
rnacentral:rRNA from 1 species